AUUGAACGCUGGCGGCAGGCCUAACACAUGCAAGUCGAACGAGUGGCGGACGGGUGAGUAAUGUCUGGGAAACUGCCUGAUGGAGGGGGCUAACUACUGGAAACGGUAGCUAAUACCGCAUACCAUCGGAUGUGCCCAGAUGGGAUUAGCUAGUAGGUGGGGUAAAGGGAGACCUAGGCGACGAUCCCUAGCUGGUCUGAGAGGAUGACCAGGGAAACUGGGACUGAGACACGGGCCAAACACCUACGGGAGGAAACAGGGGGGAAUAUUGAAAAAAGGGAGCAAGGCUGAUGGAGCCAUGCCGCGUGUAUGAAGAAGGCCUUCGGGUUGUAAAGUACUUUCAGCGGAGAGGCGGUACCCAAAGAAGAAGCAACGGCUAACUCCGUGCCAGCCGCCGCGGUAAUAC
rnacentral:rRNA from 1 species